CCUACGGGAGGCAGCAGUGGGGGAUAUUGCACAAUGGAGGAAACUCUGAUGCAGCGACGCCGCGUGAGGGAAGACGGUCUUCGGAUUGUAAACCUCUGUCUUUGGGGAAGAAAAUGACGGUACCCAAAGAGGAAGCUCCGGCUAACUACGUGCCAGCAGCCGCGGUAAUACGUAGGGAGCGAGCGUUGUCCGGAAUUACUGGGUGUAAAGGGAGCGUAGGCGGGCGAGAAAGUUGAAUGUUAAAUCUACCGGCUUAACUGGUAGCUGCGUUCAAAACUUCUUGUCUUGAGUGCAGGAGAGGAGAGUGGAAUUCCUAGUGUAGCGGUGAAAUGCGUAGAUAUUAGGAGGAACACCAGUUGCGAAGGCGGCUCUCUGGACUGUAACUGACACUGAGGCACGAAAGCGUGGGGAGCAAACAGGAUUAGAUACCCCGGUAGUC
rnacentral:rRNA from 1 species